AGUCUGCAACCCGACNCCGUGAAGCUGGAUUCGCUAGUAAUCGCGCAUCAGCCAUGGCGCGGUGAAUACGUUCCCGGGCCUUGUACACACCGCCCGUCAAGCCAUGGGAGCCGGGGGUGCUUGAAGUGCGUCGCCGCAAGGCGCGCCCUAGAGCAAAACCGGUGACUGGGGCUAAGUCGUAACAAGGUACC
rnacentral:rRNA from 1 species